rnacentral:rRNA from 1 species
ACGGGAGGCAGCAGUGGGGAAUAUUGGGCAAUGGGCGAAAGCCUGACCCAGCAACGCCGCGUGAAGGAAGAAGGUUUUCGGAUUGUAAACUUCUUUUAUCAGGGACGAAGGAAGUGACGGUACCUGAUGAAUAAGCCACGGCUAACUACGUGCCAGCAGCCGCGGCAAUACGUAGGUGGCGAGCGUUAUCCGGAUUUACUGGGUGUAAAGGGCGCGUAGGCGGGGAUGCAAGUCAGGUGUGAAAUCCAUGGGCUUAACCCAUGAACUGCACUUGAAACUGUAUUUCUUGAGUGUCGGAGAGGUAGACGGAAUUCCUAGUGUAGCGGUGAAAUGCGUAGAUAUUAGGAGGAACACCAGUGGCGAAGGCGGUCUACUGGACGAUAACUGACGCUGAGGCGCGAAAGCGUGGGGAGCAAACAGGAUUAGAUACCCUGGUA